rnacentral:rRNA from 1 species
UCUGGUUGAUCCUGCCAGUAGUCAUAUGCUUGUCUCAAAGAUUAAGCCAUGCAUGUCUAAGUACAAGCCUCACUAAGGUGAAACCGCGAAUGGCUCAUUAAAUCACACCUAAUGUACUGGACAGUCUCAGUUACUUGGAUAACUGCGGUAAUUCUGGAGCUAAUACAUGCGUACUAGCCGCGACUCACGGAGCGGUGCUUUUAUUAGAUCAAAACCAAACGGCCUCGAGCCGUCCCCCUGGUGAUUCUGAAUAACUUUGGGCUGAUCGCACGGACUCGUUCCGGCGACGUGUCCUUCCAAGGUGUGCCCUAUCAACUGUCGACUGUGGCAUAGACGCCCACAGUGGUUUUGACGGGUAACGGGGAAUUAGGGUUCGAUUCCGGAGAGGGAGCCUGAGAAACGGCUACCACUUCUACGGAAGGCAGCAGGCACGCAAAUUACCCACUGGCCGAAGGCCGAGGUAGUGACGAAAAAUAACGAUACCGGACUCAUCCGAGGCCCGGUAAUCGGAAUGAGUACACUUUAAAUCCUUUAACGAGGAACAAUUGGAGGGCAAGUCUGGUGCCAGCAGCCGCGGUAAUUCCAGCUCCAAUAGCGUAUAUUAAAGUUGUUGCGGUUAAAAAGCUCGUAGUUGGAUCUCGGCGGGCAGGGGGUGGUUCGCUCUUCAGCGCUACUGCCCCGCUUUGCCCGUGUGAUUGGCGGAGGUUUCGGGGUGCUCUUCGUUGAGUGACUCGGAGCGCCGUCAGGUUUACUUUGAAAAAAUUAGAGUGCUCAAAGCAGGCUUUUCACGCUUGAAUAUUCGUGCAUGGAAUAAUGGAAUAGGAACUCGUUUCUAUUUUGUUGGUUUUCGGAAAUCGAGUUAAUGAUUAACAGGGACAAUUGGGGGCAUUAGUAUUCAGACGACAGAGGUGAAAUUCUUGGACCGUCUGAAGACUGACUACUGCGAAAGCAUUUGCCAAGAGUGUUUUCAUUAAUCAAGAACGAAAGUUAGAGGUUCGAAGGCGAUCAGAUACCGCCCUAGUUCUAACCAUAAACGAUGCCAGCUAGCGAUCUGCCGAGUUUUUUUUGUAGGCUCCGCAGGAAGCUUUCGGGAAACCAAAGCUUUUGGGUUCCGGGGGAAGUAUGGUUGCAAAGCUGAAACUUAAAGGAAUUGACGGAAGGGCACCACCAGGAGUGGAGCCUGCGGC